CUCAUUGUUGUGCCCAAGUUUUUUGUGAAUGUAUAUAGGAAUGUCGAGAAAUAUUUAUACUUUCUGGUACAUUCAUUUGGCAAAUUGAGACUUUGAGGAAGAUUUUGAGAAAUUUUUUGAGCAUCUCAAUUGAAAAUAAAUGCAUCUUUA
ensembl:ncRNA T05G5.16 ncRNA